CUGAUUUUUUCUCAGUUGGCAGAGCAUUGGACUAGUAUUCCAAAGAUCGUAGGUUCGAUGCCCAGGACAGG